GAUUGAACGCUGGCGGCAUGCCUUACACAUGCAAGUCGAACGGUAACAGCACUUCGGUGGCUGACGAGUGGCGAACGGGUGAGUAAUACAUCGGAACGUGCCCGAGAGUGGGGGAUAACGCAGCGAAAGCUGUGCUAAUACCGCAUACGAUCUACGGAUGAAAGCAGGGGACCGCAAGGCCUUGCGCUCAUGGAGCGGCCGAUGGCAGAUUAGGUAGUUGGUGGGAUAAAAGCUUACCAAGCCGACGAUCUGUAGCUGGUCUGAGAGGACGACCAGCCACACUGGGACUGAGACACGGCCCAGACUCCUACGGGAGGCAGCAGUGGGGAAUAUUGGUCAAUGGGCGAGAGCCUGAACCAGCCAAGUCGCGUGAAGGAAGAAGGUUCUAUGGAUUGUAAACUUCUUUUGCAGGGGAAUAAAGGACGGUACGUGUACUGUUUUGUAUGUACCUUGCGAAUAAGGAUCGGCUAACUCCGUGCCAGCAGCCGCGGUAAUACGGAGGAUCCGAGCGUUAUCCGGAUUUAUUGGGUUUAAAGGGUGCGUAGGUGGAUUGUUAAGUCAGUGGUGAAAGUUUUCAGCUCAACUGAAAAAUUGCCGUUGAAACUGUCGAUCUUGAGUGCAAAUGAGGUAGGCGGAAUGUGUUGUGUAGCGGUGAAAUGCUUAGAUAUAACACAGAACUCCGAUUGCGAAGGCAGCUUACUGGGAUGCAACUGACACUGAUGCACGAAAGCGUGGGUAUCAAACAGGAUUAGAUACCCUGGUAGUCCACGCAGUAAACGAUGAAUACUAGCUGUAUGCGAUACACCGUAUGUGGCACAGCGAAAGCGUUAAGUAUUCCACCUGGGGAGUACGUUCGCAAGAAUGAAACUCAAAGGAAUUGACGGGGGCCCGCACAAGCGGAGGAACAUGUGGUUUAAUUCGAUGAUACGCGAGGAACCUUACCCGGGCUUGAAAUGCAGACGACCGACAGGGAAACUUGUCUUCCAGCAAUGGUGUCUGUGUAGGUGCUGCAUGGUUGUCGUCAGCUCGUGCCGUGAGGUGUCGGCUUAAGUGCCAUAACGAGCGCAACCCUUGCCAUUAGUUGCUAACAGGUUAAGCUGAGAACUCUAAUGGGACUGCCAUCGUAAGAUGCGAGGAAGGUGGGGAUGACGUCAAAUCAGCACGGCCCUUACGUCCGGGGCGACACACGUGUUACAAUGGGUGGUACAGAGGGUUGCUACCUGGUGACAGGAUGCUAAUCUCUUAAAUCCACUCUCAGUUCGGAUCGAAGUCUGCAACUCGACUUCGUGAAGCUGGAUUCGCUAGUAAUCGCGCAUCAGCCAUGGCGCGGUGAAUACGUUCCCGGGCCU
rnacentral:rRNA from 1 species